UCGAACGAGUUCUCGUUGAUGAUCGGUGCUUGCACCGAGAUUCAACAUCCCAUCGAGUGGCGGACGGGUGAGUAACACGUGGGUAACCUGCCCUUAAGUGGGGGAUAACAUUUGGAAACAGAUGCUAAUACCGCAUAGAUCCAAGAACCGCAUGGUUCUUGGCUGAAAGAUGGCGUAAGCUAUCGCUUUUGGAUGGACCCGCGGCGUAUUAGCUAGUUGGUGAGGUAAUGGCUCACCAAGGCGAUGAUACGUAGCCGAACUGAGAGGUUGAUCGGCCACAUUGGGACUGAGACACGGCCCAAACUCCUACGGGAGGCAGCAGUAGGGAAUCUUCCACAAUGGACGCAAGUCUGAUGGAGCAACGCCGCGUGAGUGAAGAAGGCUUUCGGGUCGUAAAACUCUGUUGUUGGAGAAGAAUGGUCGGCAGAGUAACUGUUGUCGGCGUGACGGUAUCCAACCAGAAAGCCACGGCUAACUACGUGCCAGCAGCCGCGGUAAUACGUAGGUGGCAAGCGUUAUCCGGAUUUAUUGGGCGUAAAGCGAGCGCAGGCGGUUUUUUAAGUCUGAUGUGAAAGCCCUCGGCUUAACCGAGGAAGCGCAUCGGAAACUGGGAAACUUGAGUGCAGAAGAGGACAGUGGAACUCCACGUGUAGCGGUGAAAUGCGUAGAUAUAUGGAAGAACACCAGUGGCGAAGGCGGCUGUCUGGUCUGUAACUGACGCUGAGGCUCGAAAGCAUGGGUAGCGAACAGGAUUAGAUACCCUGGUAGUCCAUGCCGUAAAC
rnacentral:rRNA from 1 species